GGGAGCCAUAGACAUAAUAUAAUUAUAUUAUGUCUAUGGCGGGAGCAUUCUUGGCAACGUUGGCUUUAUUUAGCGACUUUUCAGAGCCUCCUAAUAGCUUCUUUAAAAACAAAUCCGACAAGCGACAUCCCUGGAAAUGCAGGAUAUUUUUCUGCUGCUGGUGUCGACUGACCUGACAGUUGACAAACUGAAAUAAAUUGCUGAGGUCAAACAACAUGAGGAAGGAUGCUCCGUCUGUUGAUCGGCCAGUUCAAGGCAGGGGAAGUGAGUUUUGUAAUGGUCCCACUGAGACCAAAUACAAUAACGGGUGAGUGAUGAAGAUGUUGAGUUGAUGUUUUUUUUUUUUUUUACAGAUGUUUGCCUGCGAACAUUUAAUCAGAACAGAUUUUUUGCUUAAGGAAUGCAAAAUAUUUGUGGCAAAUUUAUUAAUAAAACUUCAGAUUAAACUGUUAGAAUAAGAAUAAAUAGGUGUCUCUGCA